UGGGGAAUAUUGCACAAUGGGCGAAAGCCUGAUGCAGCAACGCCGCGUGAGCGAUGAAGGCCUUUGGGUCGUAAAGCUCUGUCCUAGGGGAAGAAUAAAUGACGGUACCCUUGGAGGAAGCCCCGGCUAACUACGUGCCAGCAGCCGCGGUAAUACGUAGGGGGCAAGCGUUGUUCGGAAUUACUGGGCGUAAAGCGCACGUAGGCGGAUAUUCAAGUCAGGGGUGAAAUCCCGGGGCUCAACCCCGGAACUGCCUUUGAUACUGGGUACCUAGAGUAUGGUAGAGNUGAGUGGAAUUACGAGUGUAGAGGUGAAAUUCGUAGAUAUUCGGAGGAACACCAGUCGCGAAGGCGGCUCACUGGACCAUUAC
rnacentral:rRNA from 1 species